UUCUCACUGCUAAAAAAAGAGAGGCCAGGAAUACUAACCGGCUAAGUAAAGAACUCUUGGAAGACAAAGUGAUCUUUAUGGAACACUGCGCAGGACUUGACUUCCACCUAGGCAUAUCUUAGAUGUUUACUCUGAUGUAAAUGGAAUCGCAGCUAACAGGAUUUCUUUCCCCCGUUUAUUUCAAGGCUAAAAUAUCUCGGAUUUUAUGUGUUUUGUCUUAAUGGGAUACCAACUACCUAAAUAUGCAACUGUUUUUCAUAAAGCUGUUGGCUUGUGUUAUGAAGGUGAAUCAGUGAUCUGAAAUUUGGGGCUGGAUGGGCACCUUUGGAAACAGUACAUAGAAGAACAUUGAAAACAUGUUUCUCUUCUUUUCUCCCAUGCAAAAUCCAAGUGGCAAAAUCUAAUGCCACUUGGAGCCAUGGCAGAAUCCAAAAAAUAAUCACUCAGAAUUCCAGAGUCCUAGAGUCAGGGGAUGCAAAAGCUUGGACCUCAAGACAUGGAUGCUUGCACUACCCGACCGUCAGGAAGAUCAAAUUAAAUACAGUGCCUGAAAUAUAGGCAUUAUUCAGCAAUAUCAAG